AUCAGUGAUUUACAGGGGAGGGCCCAGUUCAUUGUGGGUGGGAACACCCCUGGGAUGGUGAUCCUGGAUUCUAUAAGAAAGAAGGCUGAGCAAGCCGUGAAGAACCAUCCAUCGAGCAGUUCCCCUCCAUGGUCUCUGCAUCAGCUCCUGCCUCCAGGUUCCUGCCCUAAUUGAAUUCCUGUCCUCACUACUUUGGUGCUGAACUGUUAUAAGGAACUGUGAGCAAAAUAAACCCUUUCCUCUCCAUGUUGUUUUGUCAUGGUAUUUCAGUACAGCAAUAGUAACCUUUUUUUUUUUUUUCUGGGUUUUUUGAGACAGGGUUUCUCUGUGGCUUUGGAGGCUAUCCUCGAACUAACUCUUGUAAACCAGUCUGGUUUCAAACUCACAGAGAUCUGCCUGCCUCUGCCUCCCAAGUGCUGGGAUUAAAGGUAUUCACCACCACAGCCCACCACAGCAAUAGUAACCUCAACUAAGACAAUGCCUUUGCUUUCAAUGAGAGUAGCAGUUGAGACAAAAGAGGGCUUAGGAACCUAGAAGUUGUGUGGAUAGCAGAACAGGAGGAGUUCAGGAGAAGAAGGAUGUUAGUUCUGAUGUGGAAUUUUGUGCUUUGGGAAUCAGUGGAACAACAAAUGGAUGAGCAUUAAAAGAAAAUCCAUUUCAGAGAAAUGGGCUCAGCAUUACUUCCAGUGUACAAGGGAUGGUUUGUACAGAAUGUGUGUCUAAAGGAGAACACUGAUGGACACUCUCAAGACUGCAAUUGAGGAGAAUACUCACAGUGACAAGCGACAGAAGGAGCUGCCUUGUUGUGAGGCUAGGCUCGGUCAAUUGGGCUAAGCCUCCCAGACAUGCCAAAUGGAAUGUGGAUUCAUAGAGAAAGGAUGAGAAUGACCUUAGAUAAAAAUAGAGGGACAGGACCAGGCAAACUGAGUGGUGCUGAGUCACUGGCCAUAACUAACCAUGACUAAAACCUUCAGGGUGAUAGAUGAAGACCUCACCUCCAGGAUCUUGUAGGAAUGCAUGUGUGCAUGGUGAGACAUUUGCUUAUGGAAACCACAGCAGGGGCUCUAUUGUAACAGUUCAACAAUUAAAGCCCAGCUCCCACAUAGCUGCACUCACUUGUCACCAGGGUGAGUCACUCAGAGGAAAGACAGGCAUCCUGACUGUUACGAACUACUUGACCCUGUGUUCCAGCAACACCCACGACUUAGCUCUGUACCAUCAUGCGUCACUAGAAAGAGUCCUCCGUCGGAUGGCCGAGAGGAUUCGGAGGAUGCUAAGGGCACCUGCAUGCCUUCUCUAAAGAAGUCACAUUUUCUCAAAGAAAGUGAACUGUCACCUUUAAUAUGAAUGGUUGUCACUGAAAUUUAUAAGUCAUAGUUAAUGACAAUGACAUUUCAGCUGCUGAGUCUGGUAGAAGCAUGUUCUCUGUGGCUACUCUCCUGGAGGCAGUGUUUGGAAUAGAGUUAGCUGUCAUCUUCUAUUCAUUAGGUACUAUCUACUCAGAGCUGAAAAAAUUGUCAAGCACACAGACAUCCUUGAUUAAAGAGACAGGCAGCUCAAGUUAUACUGGCAAGAGUUGUAAUUCCUUGGGACAGAAUUACAAGAAACUUGAAAAAUCUUGCUCUUGGCACUUGUCUCCAUAAUGAUUAGAGGCUCCACAGUUAACCUUAUUAACAAGUUGGUAAGUUAUAACUUCUUUUAUGUGUUUCUAUUGAAGCCUAUAUCUUAUGCCAUUGUAUAAUCCCUUCCAUCUUCUUCCUCCAGUAACAUACCCCUCCAAUAUGGUCUUUUCAACCCUUACCCUCCUGUUUUUAGAAACAUUUUUACUGACAGAUGAAUGUGUACUUUACAGGCUAUGAUUUUCUAAAAGAACAUAUUAUAGCAAGUACUUCAGAAUUUACUCAGGACUGACAUAGAAUCAUUUUUCUUCUGUGUAUAGUAUUCCCCUAUUCCUUCCUAUACUGGGAACUGAAUCCAAGGCUUUAUGGAUGUUAGGCAAGAAUUUUAGUACUGAGCUAUGUCUCCAGCCCUAAUAAUCCAUUUUUCUUCUUGAGGUUUUCACCUCAUAUUCGUCUUCCCAUCUCUUCUCCCCCUCUUUCUACUCCUCAUCAUCCUCCCAUCUUCUCCUUCCCAUUUUCUUCCUACACUCUCCUCUUUCUCUUCCUCUUCUUCCUUAUUUUUAUUCCUCUUUCUCCUCCUCCUCUUCUUAAUCAUCAACAUUAUUACUAUUACUAUUAUUAUCUUAUUAAUCUUAGCAGAAAUUUAUCCAGUAUUAAAGAAAUUAAGUUCAGAAUAUACCA
rnacentral:lncRNA from 1 species